rnacentral:lncRNA from 1 species
AUGAGCUGGGCCGUCCUCCCUCGAAGGGGCCCUGCAGCGCCCCUCCUCCCCUUCCCAGCGAGUCGGGCUUGUGGCCACAUCACUCCAGUCUCCUUUUGUGUCCUUUUCCCGGAGUGGCUGUUUCUUACCUCCCUCGCUGAGCGAGGGAGACCACACGGCGCUGCGCUCAGCCCCCUCGGCUCAGAUUCCUGGGAUGGCCGUGUUUGGUGCCGUGGCGGGUACGUGACUGGUGAUCUGGGUCAAGCCAUGGCGCCUGAGUCCAAGAGUGUCCCUCCCGGGCCUGUCCCUGGAGGACACAGCUGGUGAGCGCUGGCCAGAACACUAAGUAAUGGGAACCAGCUCCGCGCCACUCGAGGUGCCCUGACAGAGGGAACCCUUUCUGUGAAGUCUGAACUCCUCUCCGUGUAACUCAAGCCCACCUCUCCUAAGCAGCGGGUCACCAGCAAGGGGUACAGAAAGCAAAGAAUCAGUGAUCAGCUGGCUUUCAUUUUCUCAUCAGUGGUGGAGAGGGAUGUGCCUGGGUCUCCAGGUCACUUGCAUUUAAUUCAACAGUCUCCCUCCAGCCCCUGUGCACACCAGGCACCAGGUGAGCUGAGGGAAUCUUGGCCCGAGGGGGAGCAGGUCCUAGGAGUGGAGUCUGCAGGGCCCUGGGGUGGGUGGUUAGAGGUGGAGAGAGCCCCAGAGGUUAAGGUAGGACCGUGUGGCUCAGAGGGCCAGGAAAUCUGGCUUUUGUUUAUGAGGCGUGACUGAAAAAUACAUUAAAUGUUUAAAUUUUAAAAAUUUAUUACAGUAAAAGACAUUGCCAUUACCCCACGCCACCCCCAAAUACUCUCCUUCCUUCAAACACACAUUUCCCACCGUUCUUGCCAUUCCUGAAGCUCUUCCAGAAGUCCUCUUUCAUGAGUGUCUUCAGUUGCACCAUGGUGGCUACCUUGAUGUGCUGAAUGGAUUCAAAACAUUCACUUUUCGUGGUCAUUUUGACUUUGGAGAAGAGACAGAAGACGCACGUGUCAGAUCUGGUGAGAAAGGCGGCUGAGGGCCGUCACAGCACU